GACGAACCGUGCGAACGUUAUUCGGAUUCACUGGGCGUAAAGGGUGCGUAGGCGGCCGUGUGUGUGAGGCGUGAAAGCCCGGGGCUUAACCCCGGAAUUGCACCUCAAACUACACGGCUAGAGCAUUGGAGAGGGUAGCGGAAUUCACGGUGUAGCAGUGAAAUGCGUAGAUAUCGUGAGGAACACCAGAGGCGAAGGCGGCUACCUGGACAAUUGCUGACGCUCAGGCACGAAAGCGUGGGGAGCAAAAGGG
rnacentral:rRNA from 1 species